GCUGGCUAACUUUAAAAAAUUUUUCUUUUGUAGGGACGAAGACUCACUAUGUUGCCCAGCUGGUCUCCAACUUCUGGAAUCAAUCGAUCCUCCCAUCUUGGCCUCCCAAACUGCAUCCAUACCUGAAGGCGGAAGGCAGGAUUGCCGGCGGAGAAGAGAUCCAGGUGCCUUGAUGUGAGUGUUGACGGUGGAAAGCAGGCCAGAGCCAGGUACUAAAAUCUUCAGCAAAUGAUCAAUGGGGUGUGGCUUGAGGGUGGCGGGGCUGUGAUGGAAACAAGAAGAGGAGGGUGGAGGAGGGAAGGAGGAAGGAUGAAGGUCUGGCGGCAGCUCUGAAAAGCAGAGCGCCCCACCCCAGGCUGCCGGGGAAGAUUCAGGAAGCUGCAAUAGUUUUUAAUUGAUUGUUUUUUUAGAGACAGAGUCUUGCUAUGUUGCCUAGACUGGCUUCAAGCUCCCAGGCUUAACAGUCCUCCUGCCUCAGCCUCCUGAGUAGUUGGGACUAUAGACUUGUGCCACCAUGCCCAGCUUGCACUGGUUAUUUUUGGCAGAAGGGAAGUUUCAUCAUAAAGCCUUUCUCUUCAGCUCCGGGUGCCAGCUGGAGCCCCAGAAGAGG
rnacentral:lncRNA from 1 species